GGGGUUGUAGCUUAGUGGUACAGCACUCACCUCGCACGUGUGAGGCGCUGGGUUCAAUCCUCAGCAUCACAU
rfam:Ictidomys tridecemlineatus contig024507, whole genome shotgun sequence.